CCCCAGCCAUGUUUCCCUCUUGUCUGCACACUUUAGGCUUCUGAUCCGAAGCUCCAGUCAGCAAGCAGCGAUCCUACUGCUCAUGAGCCCAAACCAGCUGCCAAACAUGGCUCAUUUUUACAGAUUACAUCAGUGGCACUUUAGCACAAGCUUGACCUAGGAUUCCUUCUCUAAAUCCAAACAUCAUAGGGUGUAAGAGGUUCUGCCUUUUUAAUAACCAACUGGAAAGGGCUCAAGAAGGUUAAUAAGUCCUGUUACCAGUGCAGUUCCUGAUUGGAGAUAAUCACACAGAGCCAACGAUGUGACUUUUCAGUUUCUGACCUCACACCUCAUGUAGAAGAUUGCACUUUACAUGGCCUUGUUUUUAAAAGUGGAAUUUAUUUAUUGAUUUAGUUCCUUUGUAAUGGGGAUUUUAUUUAUUAAUCAUGAGGUUUUUAAGAGUUUUGGCUUGAUUGUGGUUUAUGAACAUCCACCCGGGCAUAAAGGAAUGGUUUGGUUUGACACUGUGCUGAAUUGUACCAAUGGAUUCCAGGUUUUUGUCAUUUUAUUUCUAUUUUCUGCAAUGUCUUGACAUGAGAUUGAGAGAGUCUUUUGCAGAAGUUGAAUGACUUUGUUUUUAGGAGAGGACAGUAAAGUCAUGGUUUUCUCUUCAACCUUUUAUCCUUUGUUUGUUAUUGUACUGAGAUUCAAGGUUCUGUAUGUGACUUAAUCACUGUUUGCAAUUACAAAUGUUCAAAUGUCUAUUUGUUUAAGUCUGUUAUAUCCAGUGUUGUGUAUAUAACCAUUUCUAGUGGAAACAGUGCACUCCCGUUGCAACUGUUUGUUGCGGAUGAGUUUUUUUUUUUCCACCGAACUGAGAGAGAUUAGUGCUUUUUAAAAGAAAAAAAAAAAUCAACUCUGGUCAUGCACAUUAUCUGCAACACUUGUACAGAGGAGUAGGGUUUAUAAAUAAAAUGAUCAUCUAAAUUGUGUGUUCAUAUGUUGGUGUAUUUCUUCAAAGUUGUGCAUGGAGGUGUGGUUGUGUCCACUCUGUUAAAUGCUCCAGAUGAGUGUUGCACAUAAAGCCUGUUUCUUUUUAACUUUAAUUCAGUUUUGUGUUUUUUCUUUUGAGAUGGCUGUCCAUUACCAUGAACAUUCCAAAGGACUUUUUAAAACAAAGUAUUGUUUUGUCUUGUUUAACCCACUGCAUAAAUCUGGCACAGACUAUGAUUUAUCAAGAGGCUCACCCACAUCUUGUCCUUUUUUUCCUUUUCAUCAAAUCUAUGAGAGGUCAGCAGUGCAACACAUCCAAUGACACGGCCCUUCUCUACAAACAAAUAUCCAGCUGUUUCUUUUCUAGUUGUCUUGGGUCUUCAUCACAUGGUCAUUAACACGCUGUCGGUGAAAUGGAGCCCUGAAUGCAAAAAUAUGCUUCAUGGUUUCAGUCCUCGCUCACCUGUACCCUCUGUGGUAAGUACACAUUUAAAACUUUCAUUCAGGUGAUGUGGAACAAUUGCAUUUUUUGUUGAUACCUGUUCAAAAUCAGGAUCCAUUUCCAAUUAAAAGCAAUAUCUGCUUGAAGUUGAAUGUCGUGUCUGUGCAACGGUAGUGCACUAUGAGGAAAUACUACGACUGCUGCCUCUGCUGCUCUUAUAGAUCCACAUUCCCCCACGAAUGAUCUGACUCCCUAUCUAAUUCUGUUACUCGGUGAGUUACAAUGCAUGGGUUUAAAAAUAUUUGCAUAAAGGGACAGUCCUCUCAAAUCAUCCUUGUAUCAUGUGUAUCGAUUGUAAUUGACCGCAUACCUUAGGCUGUAAAAAUGUGCAGUACCUACUCUCACACACAAACUCUGCCUCAUUAGAU